rnacentral:rRNA from 1 species
CGGCGCACGGGCUGAGUAGCACGUGGGUAAUCUGCCCUCGAGUGGUGGAUAACUCCCCGAAAGGGGAGCUAAUACAGCAUAAGACCACGACUCUCCGGAGUUGGGGUCAAAGCGGGCCUCUCCAUGGAAGCUCGCGCUUGAGGAUGAGCCUGCGGCCCAUCAGCUUGUUGGUGGUGUAAAAGACCACCAAGGCUAAGACGGGUAGCUGGUCUGAGAGGAUGAACAGCCACACUGGAACUGAGACACGGUCCAGACUCCUACGGGAGGCAGCAGUGGGGAAUCUUGCGCAAUGGGCGAAAGCCUGACGCAGCGACGCCGCGUGAGCGAUGAAGGCCUUCGGGUUGUAAAGCUCUGUGGAGAGGGACGAAUAAGGGCUGGCGAAUACCCAGCCUGAUGACGGUACCUCUUUAGCAAGCACCGGCUAACUCUGUGCCAGCAGCCGCGGUAAGACAGAGGGUGCAAACGUUGUUCGGAAUUACUGGGCGUA